rnacentral:rRNA from 1 species
UGUACACGCUGUGACUAGCAUAUCAAUAAGCGGAGGAAAAGAAACUAACAAGGAUUCCCCUAGUAACGGCGAGUGAAGCGGGAAGAGCUCAAAUUUGAAAUCUUAAAGGGUUUCCCUUUACGAAUUGUAGUUUAAAGAAGUGUUUUCUGUUGAGGUUUUGGUAAAAGUUCUUUGGAAUAGGACAUCAUAGAGGGUGAGAAUCCCGUAUUUGACCUUUACUUUCAAACUUUGUGAUACACUUUCAAAGAGUCGGAUUGUUUGGGAAUGCAGUCCAAAAUGGGUGGUAAAUUUCAUCUAAAGCUAAAUAUUGGCGAGAGACCGAUAGCGAACAAGUACCGUGAGGGAAAGAUGAAAAGAACUUUGAAAAGAGAGUUAAACAGUACGUGAAAUUGUCAAAAGGGAAGCGUUUGACACCAGUGUUGUUUUUCUGAAAAUCAAUUAAAGAACUGUUUAUGCUAAGUUGUUUAGACUUUAUCAGCUAUCUGUUUAGUUUUGAGCUUUUCUUUAAUGCACUUUUCAGUUAACAAGUCAACAUCAAUUUCUUUUGCUGUAAAAAAGCUUGAGGAAGGUGGCUUGAGAUUCGUCUUAAGUGUUUAUAGCCUCUUGCCUAUGCAGUCGGAGAGAUUGAGGUCUGCAGCGUAGAUCCUUCGGGGCUAAAUGCAUUUGUGCUAAGUUAUAGCAUUUUAUAGACAACUUGUUGACUAUGAUUUGUCUUGUAGCUUACUCGCUUAUGUUAUUUUUACCUACGCUUAGGAUGUUGACGAGACUGUCGAUCUC